rnacentral:rRNA from 1 species
UACGUAGGGGGCAAGCGUUGUCCGGAAUCAUUGGGCGUAAAGCGCGUGUAGGCGGUUCGGUAAGUCGGCUGUGAAAGUCCAGGGCUCAACCCUGGGAUGCCGGUCGAUACUGCCGGACUAGAGUUCGGAAGAGGCGAGUGGAAUUCCCGGUGUAGCGGUGAAAUGCGCAGAUAUCGGGAGGAACACCAAUGGCGAAGGCAGCUCGCUGGGACGUUACUGACGCUGGGACGCGAAAGCGUGGGGAGCAAACAGG